GGUUGAGAGGUCAGACUAUUAACUAAACCAUGAAGAAAUGUGGAGAUUGUUCUCUAAAGGUAUGAAAUUUGGAGAUUUUCUCCAUCGUCGUCAUGCUAUUUUACAGGUACAGCCAAGAGAAGAUCAUCACCGAGAAACAUUGUGUGCAAUUUUGCUUCCUUGGGAUUUGUCCUUCUUCAUCUCAGGGGUGCGUUCAAUUAUUGACUCACAAUAGACGAUCCAUAUGGUGCAAAUGAUUGAAGAUGUAGUCACUCCGAAACCAGUUCAUGGAAUAACAAACUUUGUUCCCAUUUUAAACAGCAAGCGAAAUGGGACAAAAAAAAAGAAGGCCAUGAAAAGAAGCAAGGAGGGAAAAUAUGGAUCUUCAUCAGAACAUAAGGAGAAGAUGAGAAGAGGAAUAACCAGAUGAAGAGAAAAGUAUGGAUCUUCAGCCCAAUCAGA